GGGUUAGUAGGUUGGUCAUGCCUCUAGUAUGUACUGGUCUCACUGAUUCCUCCUUCCUGAUGAACCUUAAUGCCAUUAAUUUGGUGUUUUGGGGAAUUUGGACUGUUACUUUGAAAAAAUUAGAGUGUUUAAAGCAAGCUAACGCUUGAAUACAUUAGCAUGGAAUAAUGAAAUAGGACGUUUGAUUCUAUUUUGUUGGUUUUCUAGGAUCGACGUAAUGAU
rnacentral:rRNA from 1 species